GACGAACGCUGGCGGCGUGCCUAACACAUGCAAGUCGAACGAAAAGUUCGGGUCUUUGGGCGCCCGGCGUCGUCAGGCGUGGGGAGCUGCACAUGGGUACGGAAUAACUCCCCGAAAGGGGUGCUAAUGCCAGACAGGGUCUUAGGACCAAGGAUUUAUUGCAUUUGGAUGGGCCCGCGUUGGAUUAGCUGGUUGGUAGGGUAAAAGCCGACCAAGGGGCCGAUCCAUAGCUGGUCUGAGAGGAUGGUCAGCAACACUGGGACUAAGACACGGCCCGGACUCCUACGGGAGGGAGCAGUGGGUAACAUUGGACGCCGGGCGCAAGCCUGAUCCAGCAAUGCCGGGUGAGUGAUGAAGUCCGUAGGGUUCUAAAGUUCUUUUACCCGGGAUGAUAAUGACAGUACCGGGUGAAUAAGCUCCGGCUAACUCCGUG
rnacentral:rRNA from 1 species